GCGAAGGUCUGAGAUUCUUCGGACCCCCGUACAGUAAUGUACGGAGCAAAACCGGGUGAAUUCGGGGAAGCCCCUCUGGGGUAAUCCCGAGCCAAGCCCUGAUGUGACGUCAGGGAAGGUGUAGAGACUAUCCUUUUAAGGAGUACUCCAAGCGAACUAUUGGGGGAAGCGCCCGGCUCCCAUUUUGUGGGAUGAUGAUAUAGUCCACCCUCUUGAGCAAUCGAGAG
rnacentral:ncRNA from 1 species